UACAGAGGUCCCAAGCGUUUGUUCGGAUUCACUGGGCGUAAAGGGUGCGUAGGCGGUCGGGUAAGUCUGAUGUGAAAUCUCAUAGCUUAACUGUGAAACUGCAUUGGAUACUAUCCGGCUCGAGGAAUGGAGGGGAGACUGGAAUACUUGGUGUAGCAGUGAAAUGCGUAGAUAUCAAGUGGAACACCAGUGGCGAAGGCGAGUCUCUGGACAUUUCCUGACGCUGAGGCACGAAAGCCAGGGGAGCAAACAGG
rnacentral:rRNA from 1 species